ensembl:lncRNA
GGGUGGGAGGGGUCGGCCGCGAUCUUUUUAGCUUGCUUCAGAGACCUGGAAGCGAACAAGUCCUGCAGGGACGGCAGAUUGCAGCCGAUCACCCUCUCUGCAGAGCGGAUGACCCGCUGAAGCCUGCCCUUGUCCUUGGCUGUGGCUGCAGCGUACCAGACGGUGAUGGAGGAGCCGAGGAUGGACUCGAUGAUGGCCGUGUAGAAGUGGACCAUCAUCGUCUUUGGCAGGUUGAGUUUCUUCAGCUGCCUCAGGAAGAACAACCUCUGAUGAGCCUUCUUGGUGAUGGAGCUGAUGUUCAGCUCCCACUUGAGGUCCUGGGUGAUGAUGGAGCCCAGGAAACGGAAGGAAUCCACAAUAGUGACGGGGGAGUCACACAGGGUGAUGGGGGAGGGUGGGGCUCUGUUCCGCCGGAAAUCUGUCUCGCAGACAGUCCCAUGACUGUCUCGCAGACAGUCCUACGACAGUCCCAUGACUGUCUCACGACUGUCCUUCGUCCCAUGGCUGUCUCGGACUGUUCCACCGACUGCCUCACACACUGUCCCACCAACUUUCUUACGUCUGUAAGACUGUCUCACCGACCGUCUUAGACUUCUCACGACUGUCUCGCAGAAAGUCCCACGACAGUCCCACGACAGUCCCACGACAGUCUCACGACUGUUCCACGACUGUCUCACGACUGUCCCACGACAGUCCCACGACAGUCCCACGACAGUCCCACGACUGUCUCACGACUGUCUCACGACAGUCCUACGACAGUCUCACGACUGUUCCACGACUGUUCCACGACUGUCCUACGACAGUCUCACGACAGUCCCACGACAGUCUCACGACUGUUCCACGACAGUCCCACGACAGUCUCACGACUGUUCCAUGACUGUCUCACGACAGUCCCACGACAGUCUCACGACUGUUCCACGACUGUCUCACGACUGUCUCACGACUGUCUCACGACUGUCCUACGACAGUCUCACGACUGUCUCACGACAGUCCCACGACAGUCUCACGACUGUUCCACGACAGUCCCACGACAGUCUCACGACUGUUCCACGACUGUCUCACGACUGUCCCACGACUGUCCCACGACAGUCCCACGACAGUCUCACGACUGUCCUACGACAGUCUCACGACUGUUCCACGACAGUCCCAUGACUGUCCCACCAACUGUCUUACAGACUGUUCCACGACUGUCUCAGGCUUUGUCAGGCAUUGGAUGUAUACUGUUGUUUUGCCUAAAGAUGUUGUUGAAGGCUUGGCCCACGCGGCUGAAGAACUUGCAGAUACCGCUUCUCUGCCCCACGUGAUUUAUGAUGAUGGAGACGAUGCAAUCUUCAACUUCCUCGUCCCCCAAUAUCAAGCAGAGCAGCAAAUCUGCUCUACCGCCCUUCAUCUUGUACAGCUCAUUGUACAUCUCCUUGUGCAAGUUCUUGAAGGAUUUUAGUUUGAGGUCAAAGUCCACAUACUUGACUUUGGACAAAAUCUUUUCAACCAGACGCUGAAUGAUGACCUCGAGUUGCCUGGUGCAACUUUCAAUAUUGAAGUUCUCUGCUAACCCCCAAACUAGGUCCUCUAUGACCGGCUCAACACAACGUUUUUUUCUUUCCUGCCCUGUGUUGUCCUGUGAAGGUUCUACAGGAGAAUUUGGAAGAACG